rnacentral:lncRNA from 1 species
CAAAAACUGAAAAAAACUUCCAAGUUUACAAAUAUUUUGGAAAUGUAAGGAGAUAGAUAAGAUUCGAAAGUUACAAUUUCUAUUGAAAACGUCAGUGCUCUAAAUUAUGGCACACAAGAUUUGAAUGAAUCAUAGAGUAGCCAAAUCAUGUAUCCAGAUCUUCUGGAAGACCUGUGGCAGUCUAUUGAAGAAGUGAGCAGUAGAAUAUGAACUCAAAGU